rnacentral:rRNA from 1 species
CGGAGGAUCCAAGCGUUAUCCGGAAUCAUUGGGUUUAAAGGGUCCGUAGGCGGUUUAGUAAGACAGUGGUGAAAGCCCAUCGCUCAACGGUGGAACGGCCAUUGAUACUGCUAGACUUGAAUUAUUAGGAAGUAACUAGAAUAUGUAGUGUAGCGGUGAAAUGCUUAGAGAUUACAUGGAAUACCAAUUGCGAAGGCAGGUUACUACUAGUUGAUUGACGCUGAUGGACGAAAGCGUGGGUAGCGAACAGGAUUAGAUACCCUGGUAGUCCACGCCGUAAACGAUGGAUACUAGCUGUUGGGGGCAACUUCAGUGGCUAAGCGAAAGUGAUAAGUAUCCCACCUGGGGAGUACGGGCGCAAGCCUG